GCUUGGGUAGCUCAGUUGGUAGAGCACUUGCCCGCUACAGUCUGGAACGCUGCGGUCGCAGGUUCGAAUCCUGCCUCGGGCA